rnacentral:rRNA from 1 species
GACGAACGCUGGCGGCGUGCUUAACACAUGCAAGUCGAACGAUGAAGGAAGCUUGCUUCUGGAUUAGUGGCGAACGGGUGAGUAACACGUGAGUAACCUGCCCUUGACUCUGGGAUAAGCACUGGAAACGGUGUCUAAUACCGGAUACGAACCUCGGCCGCAUGGCUAGGGGUUGGAAAGAAUUUUGGUCAAGGAUGGACUCGCGGCCUAUCAGCUAGUUGGUGAGGUAACGGCCCACCAAGGCGACGACGGGUAGCCGGCCUGAGAGGGUGACCGGCCACACUGGGACUGAGACACGGCCCAGACUCCUACGGGAGGCAGCAGUGGGGAAUAUUGCACAAUGGGCGAAAGCCUGAUGCAGCAACGCCGCGUGCGGGAUGACGGCCU